AUUCCAAUCGAACUCGGAGAUAGCUGGUUCUCCCCGAAAUAGCUUUAGGGCUAGCGUCGAGGUAAAGUCGUGUGAAGGUAGAGCACUGAAUAUGUGAUGGCCCCAUCUCGGGGUACUGAACAUAAUCAAACUCCGAAUGUCACAAAGAUAUACUCGGCAGUCAGACAGUGGGUGAUAAGGUCCAUUGUCAAAAGGGAAACAGCCCAGACCAUCAGCUAAGGUCCCAAAAUAUAUACUAAGUGGAAAAGGAUGUGGAGAUGUCCAGACAACUAGGAGGUUGGCUCAGAAGCAGCCAUCCUUUAAAGAGUGCGUAACAGCUCACUAGUCGAAUGACUCUGCGCCGAUAAUUUACCGGGGCUAAGUAUAUUACCGAAGCUAUGGAUUUACGCGUAAGCGUGAGUGGUAGGGGAGCGUUCUAUGUGCGGAGAAGCGGUACCGUAAGGAGCCGUGGAGCGCAUAGAAGAGAGAAUGCCGGUGUGAGUAGCGAAACGUGGGUGAGAAUCCCACGCACCGAAAACCCAAGGUUUCCAGAGGAAGGUUCGUCCGCUCUGGGUAAGUCGGGACCUAAGGCGAGGCCGAGAGGCGUAGUCGAUGGACAACAGGUAGAGAUUCCUGUACUUACGGUAUGAAUGAUGGAGUGACGGAGAAGGCUAGCGGAUCCUGCUGAUGGAAAUGCAGGUGCAAGCGAGGUAGCCGACAGCCAGGCAAAUCCGGCUGUCGAAAGGCAAAGGCGUGAGGCGUAUGGAAAGCUGCGGCAAGUACAGAAGUCCGUGAAGCCAGCUUCCAAGAAAAGCUUCUAGUGAUAAUCAUACAGUAACCCGUACCGAAAAUGGACACACAUGGGUGAGGAGAGAAUCCUAAGGUGAGCGAGAGAACUAUAGCUAAGGAACUCUGCAAAAUGACUCCGUAACUUAGGGAUAAGGAGUGCUCAUAGAGAUAUGAGCCGCAGUGAAACGGCCCAAGCGACUGUUUACCAAAAACACAGCUCUAUGCUAAGUCGAAAGACGACGUAUAUGGGGUGACGCCUGCCCGGUGCUGGAAGGUUAAGAGGAUGUGUCAGCGCAAGCGAAGCAUUGAAUUGAAGCCCCAGUAAACGGCGGCCGUAACUAUAACGGUCCUAAGGUAGCGAAAUUCCUUGUCAGGUAAGUUCUGACCCGCACGAAAGGCGUAACGAUUUGGGCGCUGUCUCAGCUGUAGACUCGGUGAAGUCUUAGUACCUGUGAAGAUGCAGGUUACCCGCGACUAGACGGAAAGACCCCAUGGAGCUUUACUGUAGCUUGAUAUUGGACUUUGAUGCAAGAUGUACAGGAUAGGUAGGAGACUGAGAGACAUGCACGCCAGUGUGUGAGGAGUCAAUGUUGGGAUACUACUCUUCUUGUAUUGGAGUUCUAACCGGAUGCCAUGGAACUGGCAACGGGACAGUGUCAGGUGGGCAGUUUGACUGGGGCGGUCGCCUCCCAAAGAGUAACGGAGGCGCCCAAAGAUACCCUCAGCUUGGAUGGAAAUCAAGCGCAGAGUGCAAAGGCAUAAGGGUGUUUGACUGCGAGACCUACAAGUCGAGCAGGGACGAAAGUCGGGCUUAGUGAUCCGGUGGUUCCGCAUGGAAGGGCCAUCGCUCAACGGAUAAAAGCUACCCUGGGGAUAACAGGCUGAUCUCCCCCAAGAGUCCACAUCGACGGGGAGGUU
rnacentral:rRNA from 1 species